UGAUUAAAUAAGUAAAUAGAAUACAAAAUAAGUAAAUAGAAUAAUUUUAGAAUCUAAUUUAAAUAUUUCAUAUUUUUGCUGUUAAAAAGAAAACAUAUGAUAAUAGUUCACAUUGGAAGGAUUAACUAACAUCACCCUAACGUUCUUUUUCGAAAAUAACGCUCGAACCACGUGGUUUCAUAGAGAAAACAUAGUUUAAACCUAGGGAUGAUGGAACGACGACGAAGAAGAGUAUUCUCUUCAUUAACACAUACUUCAUCAGUGACUGUUAAUGAAUCACGUGUUCAUAUAUCAGCUUUGAAUGACUCUCGCCCUGUGUUUUUCCUAGCCUGUUAAUUUAUAUCUCGAGAAAACUCCUCGCGGAGGCCAUUUUCGGUGUCCAAAUAAAAAGGAGCCAUGAUUCUGAAAGACUAACCCCUUUGACUUGCAUAGUAAGUUAUCCUACUUUGGUCAAGGGAAACUAUUUUUUAUGUAAUGCUUUUAGAAUCCAUGUUAUUUCUUUUUUUUUUUUUUUUCCACAACUAAAAGCGGCUUCUUUGAUGGAAUUGAUUCUAAUUUUCUUUUUUAAUCUUUAAAUUAGGAUCGUAACCAUUCUAGGAAUGGAGUUUCCAUUUUGGAUGUUGCAUAAAACACCAUAACAUCGAAUCAACGAGAGAGGGAAGAUAACCACCCUUUCCGUUUCAAUGGGGAAACCGACAUCAGAGUUGCCCUUCUCCGCUUUCUUUUCAUUAAACCGACGACACGCAGUCGCUGAGGGGCGGCGCUUUCGAAUGGCAGCAUCAAGGCGCAGACGCCUUCGGUUUCACACCGUGCUUCCGGUUUCAACUAGAUCAAUCAUUUUCCCUAUCAGAAAUCUUUCCACUGUUCUGAAAUAAACGGCAGACCGCGAUGGAGCUUCCAUUUGCUUUUGCAAAUGUGUUUACACGGCACUAUAUACUUCACCGGAAUAAUUUCUGGUGUCUUUUUGCUCUGUACGAAAACGAACGAGUUUUCCUUGGCGCCUGUACUGCACCGGUAUUGUGAGAUCCGUGAUUCCGUGGUAUCGCCUGAGUAAAUUCCAUCCAUUGGUGGGGGCGGCGGCCCUUACAAUUUACUGUUUCCACGUUCCGAUCUAUUUUAAUUAUUCCUUCGCGGUUUGCCAUGAAAAAUUCCAUAAAUCUUCGUCCCCAAGAUAAUUAGCAGGGAUACUUUCGACUAGUGGGUAUAAAUCCUGUAAUUCUUUCCAGGAACCCCGGAACAUUGACAACAGACGAGAUGCACUGGAACUCCAGUGUUUCUCAAGCUUUAAAAUUUUAUGGAAAAAUUGAUUCAUAAUCUUCUUGUAAUUUUUUCAAUAAUGACAAUUUAAUAAUUUAUGAAAAUAAGGAAAAAUUUGAAUUAACAUGCUAUUUCAAUUUCAUUGGCUUAUAGUUAAUUAUUAUUUGAUUGUUUUUUUAAUAGCAAUUAUAGAAUGUGAGCGUCUAAUAUUCUUGCUUGAGAAUUCUCGUUAAAAUUUUUUAAAACUAAUCGUUUUAAAAAAUUUAGAAAUAUGAUAAAUUAGAUGAUUAGCUUUUUAUAUAAAAAAAAAAAAAUCAAUUAUUGAAUGAAAUCAUUGAGAAACGCUGUAUCAUGGUGUAUCACUUGAAAAAUGAAGGAACAGCGCGUAAAUUGUUAUUAUAGAGGUUUGAACGCUUGUAGCGGUUCUUAAUUCGUGAAGACAUUUAUUUGGUACACUUUGGUGCAAUAUAAUUCGACGCGUUUCUGCUAUUUUUACUGUUUUGUGAUUCAUUUACCCUACUAUUAAAAAGAAUUAUUGCCUUUGAGAUUCGAAACAUGUUACCACACCAACACCGUUCUCUAAUUUCUUCUUAACGAUUAAUUAUAUUUUAUUUUCAGAAGAAUAGGUAUUUCAAUGCUAGAGUUUUUUCAAUGCUAUAACGAAUCCGUACGUUUCUUCAUCUCUCAUACAGGGAAAAGGAGGUAGCUGACUGAAGAUAAUAAUCACUUUCCGUUCGUCGUAAAUCUCUCCUUAUGAACGAUGGCGAUAGGGUUUGCUCGCACGAAAAUAGAGUUUUUUUCCUGGCCCUCGUAAAAUAUUUAUAUGCGCAAAUAGUGGAGAGUCGAGUCGAAAAUAGGGUUAGUCUGUGAUUCGAUGAAAAGAAGACAUCGAUAAGAUGUUGAUGUCAGAGCGUCUGGGGAAUCGAAGAGGUGAAUCCUCCGGUUUUGAUAGAGAAGUGGACCCAUUACGCUAUCUCUCGAGAAGGUUGUUACUUUUGUUGGACAGCUGUUUCCUUUAAAAAAAAUUGGUUUUAUCGAAACGAGCUCGAAUUAAUCAAAGUGGACAAAGAAGUUUUCUGAUUUUCUUUUUUUUUUUUUUUAAGAAUCAUUAUUUAAUUGAGAAACUCAUUGUGUAACAAAAAUUUGGAUACUUCCUGAGUUCUUUUUUUAAUAAUAGAUUUUUUAAUGACUAUAUUGAGAAAUAGAUUUCAAUUAUAUAUAUAACGAAUAUAGUCGGUCAGAUCUUUGACAGAAAGCCGUUUCUGUAGUCCCGCCCUCGAAACAGGAAAUUAGUUGCCGACAGGCGGUUCGAAUUAUACAUUUCUCGGGAGAACCGGUAAGAAAGUAAGAACCUUCUUUUCCUAUCUUUCUAUUUCAAUUUUCCUUCAUCGGCAAUCAGUAAUCAUCAAAGGAAAAUUGUAUUCAUUUACACAACAUCUAAUUACAGGUAUCGUGAUCAAAAGAUUCUAUUAAUUUUUGUCUCGGUAUACUUCCAUUUCACUUUGCCUAUAUUCUAACCCACAGUAAAGUUCUUUUUAUGCAAGCUUUCUAAGAGGGGAGAAGUUGUCGACGUGUCCCCUCGACAGCUGCCACCACUGUAAGAUCCGGUUCACACGACUCUCCUCGCUUAUUCUCUUUUUCUUUCUUCUUUUUACAUUUUUAUAGGGGCUUUCUGAAAAUUAUAUUUUACUGAAGUAUCAAAGAAAGAAUAAAAUUUGGGAAAAUUUGAUGGGAAGAUUUAUGAAAAGAAGUGUGAAGCAGUCAUCACAUACGAAGACUUUUUUGCAGAAGAGCACUUAUCAAGGACGUUCAAUUUGCAAUACAUUCACAUGGGGACAGUGUUAGUAGAAGUCAGUAAACAGGAAAACACUGAAGUUUGAAGAUCCUUGCAUAUAUGUCAUGCAGAAAUUUCGGUCUCAAAUACUUAAUUGGUCAUCCUGCAUGAAUUGUGGACCACGUGGUAGCAAAUGUUUGUACACGCUCAAAGAACCAAAUCCAAAUGAAAGUAA